AGAAAAGAAUGAUUAGAUUUUAAAAUUAAGCCAACAUUUUGUGCUCAGGGCGAGCUAGCCGUCCGUGCCUCGGUUCAUCACCGGUUCUUCAAUAUCUGAAAAGAAAAAAGAAGAGAGCAUACCCCAACCCCACCCUCACCCUUUCUGUUCUCAGUCUCACCUGAACCUCGACGGCGCUGUCGCUAUUCUAUUCUCUCUCAUCGCCCUCUAAUGCCGCCGACACUAUCAUUUUCCAGCGAUGACAAUCUUGAUCUUCAAGAAGUUAUUUCUAAUGGCUCAUUAGAUUUUGACGAGUGGACUUCAUUGAUUUCUGAGAUUGAGAAAUUAUAUCCUGAUGACGUGGAGAAAAUAUGUCUAGUUUAUGACCAUUUCUUGUCCAAAUUUCCUCUGUGUUAUGGGUAUUGGAGGAAGUAUGCUGCCCACAUGACAUGCAUAUGCGCCAUGGAUAAGGUUGUUGAAGUAUUUGAAAAGGCUGUAUUAGCAGCAACGUAUUCAGUAGGCAUGUGGGUUGAGUACUGUAGUUUUGGUAUGUCAGCUUUUGAGGACCCAUCUGAUAUUCGGAGAUUGUUCAAGAGAGCCAUUUCCUUCGUUGGGAAGGAUUACUUAUGUCAUAUCUUGUGGGACAAGUAUAUUCAUUUUGAGUUUUCCCAGCAGCAUUGGAUUUCUCUUGCUCACAUUUAUAUCCAAACUCUUAAGUUCCCAACCAAAAAGUUGCAUCAGUAUUAUGAUAGUUUUAAGAAGUUGCUAACCUUUUUGGAAGAGGGCAUAGCAAGCCUGGACAAUUCUCCAAAGGAAUUGCAAUCAGAACCAUGUUUUGAUGGUGAACUUCCUAUGACUAUGUGUUGCAAUGAUGACGAGGUUUAUAGGAUUAUCAAUGCUAUGAUGUAUUCAUCUGUUGGAUUGACUGGUUCAAUAGCCCUAAAAAGGUACAGGGCCAUUGGAGAACUGCUUUAUCAUAAUUCUUGUGAGUUGUAUUUGAAAAUUAGUCUCUUUGAGGCUAAUAUUCAAAGAAAUUACUUUCAUGUCCGGCCUCUUGAUGCAAAUCAGUUACAGAAUUGGCAUAAUUAUUUGGAUUUUAUUGAACUUCAAGGGGAUUUUGACUGGGCUGUGAAACUUUAUGAGAGAUGCUUGAUUGUGUGUGCCAACUAUCCUGAAUACUGGAUGCGUUAUGUGGACUUCACGGAAGCCAAAGGAGGAAGAGAAAUUGCAAACUAUUCUUUAGACCGAGCAACUGAAAUUUAUUUGAAGUGGGUGCCAGCAAUCCAUUUAUUCAAUGCUAGGUUUAAGGAACAAAUAGGAGAUGCUUUGGCUGCUCGUGCUGCAUAUAUUCAGAGUGGUAAAGAGACAAAUUCUGACUUUGUGGAGAAUGUUAUAUCAAAAGCUAAUAUGGAAAAACGUUUGGGAAAUACAGAGUCAGCUUUCAGUAUAUACAAAGAAGCAUUAGAAAUGGCUACAGCAGAGGAAAAUUUACAUGCCCUCCCCAUUUUAUAUGUUCAUUUUUCUCGGCUAAAAUAUAUGUGUACAAACAGUGUGGAUGCUGCUAGAGAUGUCUUAAUUGAUGGCAUCAGAACUUUGCCUCAAAACAAAUUGCUUCUUGAGGAGUUGAUAAUGUUCUCAAUGAUGCAUGGAGGUGAAAAGCACACAGCUGUAAUAGAUUCAAUUAUUGUGGAUGCAAUAUCUCCAAGGUCUGAUGUAUCUCAAGUUCUAAGUACAGAAGAUGCAGAGGACAUAUCAAACUUAUACCUAGAGUUUGUUGACUAUUGUGGAACCAUACAUGAUGUAAGGAAGGCAUGGAAUCGGCACAUAAAAUUAUUUCCAGACUCUGCCAGGAUAGAUUUACAUCAGCAAUCUGCUAGACGUAGAAGAUUGCUUAAUUUGGUUGACAAGGGAGAAGAGAUUUCUGUUGUCAUGCCUAAUCAAGCAUCUCGAGAUUCUCUUUCUGAUUUGCAUGUGCAUUUACCUAAAAAAGACAAGAAAGUGUCAUUGCUAGGUUAUUGUGAUACAAAGUCUGAUGCAGCUAAUGAAGGAUUAAUGUUGAUGAAAAAUCAUAAUACACAGUCUAACGAUGCAGAUACAUACAAGCUUCAAAUUGAGAAAUUCAAUGAAAAAGCAGAAGAAAAAGGAAGAGGAUUACCUCUCCCAGUUUCUGAGGAACCAAGAGACAGUGAUCCAGAAAAUCAUGUGUCAUCUGCCAAUUUAGUGGAAGUGAAAGAGGAAUCUACCGAAGUUAAGAAUUUAAAGGAUAAUUGUUCUGAAUCUAAUGUUCCAUCAGAGGAAUUAUUACAUAGACCAACUUUUGGAAAUCAAUCCUCACAAGCUUUGCAAGCAUUGUCAAAUGAAAAUGCUGCUUCUUCUAAGGAAAAGUGUGAGCUUGAGCCUGAAAAGUUGAAACCACUUUCUCUGACAAAUAUGUUAUUGAAUCCCUGGGAAAGCACAUGCCUUGAUUCAGGACAAAUGAUCUCUCAGGAGGAGUGUGAUGCAAUUCCAGAAAGCUGCAACUCAAAUAGUAGAGCAGCAGUUGGUGGUCAUAGUGCAAAUCAAGAAAAUUCUGCAAGCACUCAAGAUUCUGAUUCUGCCCAAAUUCACACUGAAAUAAACAGUCCACAUUCAGCACUCCAUCAAGACCAGAAAGCACGAAAACCACUUCUACCACCUCGGUCUUCUAGAAAUAGUGGUGGAAACUGGCAUCAGGUGAGAAAUGCUGGGCAAUUUCGUAGAGGUACCAAAUUUGGUUUUCGGGGAAAUACACAUAGAAAACAGCACCUACGGCAGCAGUUGUCUCCACAACAGAUUCAUCCACCUGGAGGGGGUGCACAAAUGGCUGUAACUCCAGGUUACUCCUCUCAAUCUGUAUUGCAAGUUCAGCAAUUCAAUCAAGGACAAAAUCAGUUUCAAUCUACUGCUACUCCUACUGAUUUUGUGGAACCUUAUUGUUGGCCUGUACAAAACAUUCAGAUACAAAGCACUUCAUCUCAGUCUCAAUCACCAACCAAUCCCACAUCACAUGAAUUACAACAUGCAAUGCAAGGCAAUGGGCAAUAUGGUUAUAUGCACAAUGGCCAAGAAUAUAAUCAGUUAUGGCAAUACUAUUACUACCAGCAGCAGCAAUUGCAACUACAGCAACAUUAUAGUAAAAUACAACAGCAACCAUUCCAGCAGGAACAGUCACAACUCCAACAGCAUAGUCAGCUGGAACCUUUUCACCCACAACAGCUACAACAAGUGCAGUUGCAACAACAGGUUAUGCAGCAGCAGCAGCAAUACUUUCAACAGCAACCUCUGCAACAAGAACACCCUGUUUACCUUCAGCAGCAGCAGCCACCAACACAGGCAAAUUUAGUUUCGUGUGUAUACUGUCAAUAAGAGCAGCAGCCAUCCUGUAGCAGACCAAGGGCAGGGAAUGGUGGCAUCGCAGGGCCACGGAACAAUAUCAUCGCAACAAUCAGGCAAACAUGGGUCGGUUUCUUCUGUUGCGCAUCAUCCCCAAGAGAAAUCUACCCAAGAAGAGUGACAUUUCGUUGUAGAUUUGACAGAAUUUCAAUUGUAAAAUUAAGAAUUUACCCGGCAAUGACUUGGCCCAACGACACUAUAUAAUAAACAUUAAUUUUUUGGCAGUUUUGAACCAAAAAAAAUGAAUAUAAUAAUUUGGAUUUAU